rnacentral:rRNA from 2 species
UAUUAGAGGCAUUGCCUGCCCAGUGACUAAAGUUAAACGGCCGCGGUAUCCUGACCGUGCAAAGGUAGCAUAAUCACUUGUUCCUUAAUUAGGGACUAGAAUGAAUGGCUAAACGAGGGUUCAACUGUCUCUUACUUUCAAUCAGUGAAAUUGACCUUCCAGUGAAGAGGCUGGAAUACUACAAUAAGACGAGAAGACCCUAUGGAGCUUUAAUUUACUAGUUUAAUUUAUACAGUAACAACCUAAUGGACCAAAACAAAAUAAAUAUAAACUAAAAAUUUCGGUUGGGGUGACCUCGGAGAAUAAAAAAUCCUCCGAAUGAUUUUAACCUAGACCCACAAGUCAAAGUAAUAUUAAUAUCUUAUUGACCCAAUUAUUGAUCAACGGACCAAGUUACCCUAGGGAUAACAGCGCAAUCCUAUUUAAGAGUUCAUAUCGACAAUUAGGGUUUACGACCUCGAUGUUGGAUCAGGACAUCCCAAUGGUGCAGAAGCUAUUAAUGGUUCGUUUGUUCAACGAUUAAAGUCCUACGUGAUCUGAGU